AGAGUUUGAUCAUGGCUCAGAAUCAACGCUGGCGGCGUGCCUAACACAUGCAAGUCGAACGCGAAAGUCCUUCGGGGCUAGUAGAGUGGCGUCCGGGUGAGUAACACGUGGGUAAUCUACCUUCGGGUGGGGAAUAACUCGCCGAAAGGCGAGCUAAUACCGCAUAAUGCAGCGGCACCUAAUGGUGAAUAGUUGUUAAA
rnacentral:rRNA from 1 species